rnacentral:rRNA from 1 species
UACGUAGGGCGCGAGCGUUGUCCGGAAUCAUUGGGCGUAAAGCGCGUGUAGGCGGCUAGGUAAGUCUGCUGUGAAAUGUACCGGCUCAACCGGUGCCUUGCGGCGGAUACUGCAUAGCUGGAGUACUGGAGAGGGAAGUGGAAUUCCCAGUGUAGCGGUGAAAUGCGUAGAUAUCGGGAGGAACACCGGUGGCGAAGGCGGCUUUCUGGCCAGUUACUGACGCUCAUGCGCGAAAGCUGGGGUAGCGAACCGGAUUAGA